GACGAACGCUGGCGGCGUGCCUAAUACAUGCAAGUUGAGCGCUGAAGGUUGGUACUUGUACCAACUGGAUGAGCAGCGAACGGGUGAGUAACGCGUGGGGAAUCUGCCUUUGAGCGGGGGACAACAUUUGGAAACGAAUGCUAAUACCGCAUAAAAACUUUAAACACAAGUUUUAAGUUUGAAAGAUGCAAUUGCAUCACUCAAAGAUGAUCCCGCGUUGUAUUAGCUAGUUGGUGAGGUAAAGGCUCACCAAGGCGAUGAUACAUAGCCGACCUGAGAGGGUGAUCGGCCAAAUUGGGACUGAGACACGGCCCAAACUCCUACGGGAGGCAGCAGUAGGGAAUCUUCGGCAAUGGACGAAAGGCUGACCGAGCAACGCCGCGUGAGUGAAGAAGGGUUUCGGAUCGUAAAACUCUGUUGGUAGAGAAGAACGUUGGUGAGAGUGGAAAGCUCAUCAAGUGACGGUAACUACCCAGAAAGGGACGGCUAACUACGUG
rnacentral:rRNA from 1 species